UACGUAGGGCGCAAGCGUUGUCCGGAAUUAUUGGGCGUAAAGAGCUCGUAGGCGGCUUGUCGCGUCGGGUGUGAAAGCCCGGGGCUUAACCCCGGGUCUGCAUUCGAUACGGGCUGGCUAGAGUGUGGUAGGGGAGAUCGGAAUUCCUGGUGUAGCGGUGAAAUGCGCAGAUAUCAGGAGGAACACCGGUGGCGAAGGCGGAUCUCUGGGCCAUUACUGACGCUGAGGAGCGAAAGCGUGGGGAGCGAACAGG
rnacentral:rRNA from 1 species